CGUUCAAACCAUUUGGACGCCACUCACUACUACAAAACCCAUAAGUUGUAGACGCUGUUAGCUCGACGCCCAGGUGUAAGCUUUGGGUGGGAAAUCAAUUCCCGCUUUUUGUCGACGCCUAUAGUAGUCGAGGAUUUUGUAGACAACAUUUGUCGUCGAUAGGGCACGUGCCUUGCACGUGUACUCAGUUUAGCAGGAAUUUAAUAAGAGCCCAAACUUAUCCAUCGUCCCAAGUGCUCCCUGCCCUCGCAAUUCGCAAACUCCUAAAACAGUUUCACCGAAAUUAUUCUCUCUCUUGCCUCACAGUUCUCUUUCUCUCACGCUUCACAAUUGAGAACUGCUAAGAUGAAAAGCUCGAUGAAAAUCUUGAAAAGGUAAUAAAUUUUCUCUCCUCUCUUGUUCUUGAUUUCUAGGGUUUCCUCAUACAUGUUUCUUUCAUGUUUUUUUUUUCAGAUCUUGUUAUUAGUUUCUAGGGUUUUCUUUCGAUUAUUCUGAGAAUCAAUGUUUUUCUUUCAAUUGCAAUCCACAUCUUUGGAAAGGAAUUUUUGGCAGAAUUUUGUUAAUUAUCUUCUUCUAUUAUCUGUUUAUCAUCCUUGAAGUUUGAAAUUAUCGUUUGUAAUUUUGGAACAUGAUUAUUUAAUAUUGAAUUUGUGGCGUUUCCUAUAUUUUUUAAGAAUUUUGGGGAAGAAAUAGUUGGCCAGUAGAUUUAAUUUACAUGAAAAUAUUCAAAGAGCGAAAUUUACAGUUAAAUUCUGGAAUAUGUUGACUAGCAUUCCAACUAUAAAAUCCUUUUAUUAAUUACUUGCUGAGGGUUGAUUAAAUCAACUGAUGAACUCAAUUUUAAUAGGAAAAUAUAUAUCUUGUAAUUUGUUGCAAUCUCAAAUAUAUAUCUUUUAUUAAUUACUUGCUGAUGGUUGAUUAAAUCAACUGAUGAACUCAAUUUUAACAGUAACAUAUGGGCAUUAUUUGCAGCAAUUUGUUGUCUUGAGAAUCAUGUGAGAUUGAACUGAAGCUUUAGUGGAACGCAAUUAUCUGUCUACUUGUAUUUUAUCAAUGAAUAUGGGUUCAUUUAUUGGUUUAAUGAAAUAAAUUGCAUAGUUUGACCAUAUUAAGCUUGAAUUUUUAUGGACAUUAGCACGACAUGAUUCCAAAUUGGGCAAUUAUAGUCAUAUUCUACAGUAAUUGAGUUAAUUAAGCUGCUUGGGUUUAAUAAUUGUUUGAUAUUCUCUGUACGAUGUUACUGAAGUUGCAGAUAUGAGAAGGGUCUCUUCUGUUUCAGUUUUUUCUCUUUGGUUUCAGUUUUUCGGUAUGUGUACCGAUUUAUUCAAUUAUUAUUACUAUCUUCUUUCAGAUUUUUAUUUUUCCAUCUUUAGGGUUUUUAUAUGAGGAUUUCAUGUCUAGGCUUUGGCUACCUGGUUAAGAGAGAAAAGUUGAACUUGUUGAGCUGCUCAGGACGAGGUUCUCUUUACUCGAUCCCUUAUUCCAGUGUUCUACUGAACUUAGAUACUUUGAUGAUGUUAGCUUGUUAGGUCUUUAUUCAAGUGCUUUUUUUUUUUAUCAAAUAGUGGUUUUUGCAUAAAACUAAAUAUCACUUGCAUUGUGAUGUCAGAUUUAUCUGAUUAAUAUAUGUGGUGGUAGAUUUCCUUAUUGUGAGAUUGUCAAAUUUACUUGUACUCAUCAAUUAAACUUCGUAUAAUCUGGGCAACUCUUGUUUGGUUUCUUAUUCCUGAUGACUUAAGCUCAUGUUCUAUUUUAAGAGGGUUGACAAGUUUAUGGAGGACAUAAAUAGCAUAAGAUGUUUGAGACAGAACAUUUACAAAUAUUCACUACAGUUGGCCUAUUUUGUAAGAUUUUUGUGUCGUCAUAUAAAGACCACUGGACAGAAUAUGCUAAAAGUAGCAGCAUAUUGUAGGUAAUUAAAUGCCUGUUUAAGAAGAGUCUAGUGGCAGCUUCAAGUCAUCCUUGGUACCUCAACUCUCAGUCAGCAGGCUGAUCUAAAAUUUUAUUUGGCUUAGACAGACAACCAAAGAAUAAAAUCUCAAGUCAAGAAAAACCACAUUAGACAUUUUUGUAAUUAAAAAACCAUCAUCAGCUAUGUCAAUGAGUUAAUCACUACGAUUGACAUCGAGAACCUGAAUAGCAAAGCUAAAAUAUAUAAAAGUUCAAGGAAAAGACAUAAUGAAGAAGAAGAAAUGAAAAAACCGAUAAGGGGGUGAACAUUACAAUCUAUUCUUAGGAGUAUCCAGAGUUUUUAUAGUGUUGUUUGUAAGACAAGACUUUCUAAGUUGUCAUCAAACUUAAAAACAACUCAUGCCAGCAUAAGAGGUCAAAAACACACCGAAACACAUGAGGUGAUGGUGGAUAACCGAGAAAUUGAUUGUAGCUUAGAGGUAGUGGAUUCACAGGUAUAUUCUAGAAUGAACAUAUAUUUACACGGUGUAGUAAUGGAUGUUGUUUCUACAAGAAACUAAUUAUGGUUUCUUAGCUAUUAUUUAGAAAAUAUGACUUAUUAAGUAUCAUACUUGUUUAUUCUGCACCUUUUAUUUAAAUCAAAACCACCUAAUAUGUUGGAUGAUCUAUGUAGCUUGUUUCUUUUCAAAAUGGACAAGUGCUACAAAUCUGUUAAGUCUCGUCAUUUUCCGUCAAAAGCCGAGAUUAAUUUCUAAGCAAACUGGUGCAGGAUUAAUGAGAUCAUUUUGGUAUAUCGUGCAUAUGAUUAAGUUUAUGACAAUUGCGUUUCAUACUCGGGAAUUCUGAUGUCAUUUUUCUAUCGAUGUGCUUUUAUGGUCAGAUGUUGGGAUAUUUAUUACUUAAGGUUAUCUAGAUAUAUAAUAUUCUGAUGUCGUGCUUUGCUUCCGUUCAGGUGAGGUGCUUUUUAGUUAGGUGUAUCUGUUGUGAACCAUUUUGGCUUAGUUCUGUUUCUCAUGUACUAUUUCUAAGGAUCAACUUAGUUCUAAUCUCAUGCAGGAUCUGAUCUUCUACCAUGAAGUGAUGAUAAUUUUAGUAUCUCAUCGGAAUUUUUGAAACAUGUAGCGAUGUUCCCUUGGAAUGAAUGCACUGAAAUUCCGAGUAGCAUAAAUGAAUAACCAAGUCAAGACCUCUGUUUGCAUUUGGAUCUUGCACAGUUUGUUUUUAUCUAUCGCAGCGGGUUUGUUGCAAUAUAAGUUUUAUGUCCUAUCUCAUUAAUUUUAUGUUCCACUACUUCCAAUGUGAUUGUGGCUCUGGUUUCCAUUGUGCGCUCUAUCAUGUGCAAUGCUUUUUUAGUUUUAUUAUGGUAUGGAGUAUGCUUUAUUAGAAUUUUGUUUGAGUUGUAGUUUGUAUAACAUAUUUAAUGAAAUCAUACACUGCUAGCUUAAAAGUCCAUCUUCCUCUUUUUUAACUUCUUGUUUGUUUUAUCCGUACUAAUUACCUUUUACUUUUAUUGAAGGUCCAAACUGGUAAUGGAGCUCACAGGAGAACAAAAGUAGAUCGUAAUAUUUAAAUUGCCUCAACUGUUAAGAAGUUGUAUUAGCUUUUUACUUAUUAGUUUUGCUUUUAUGCUUACUCUACUGUACAAAUGGUUGAUAUGGAUAAGUAAUACAAUAUGGAUUUUGGUUAGUAACAGGUAGGUAUUAUAGAUUUUAAGUACUUGAGUUAAUUUUAAUGUUGAUGAAGACCAAUUUUUAAAAA